rnacentral:snRNA from 1 species
ACAGAAGUAGACGACUGGCUUCC